UGUAUGUGUGUGUGUAUGUGUGUGUAUGUGUGUGGUACCAGGGAUCGAACUCAGACCCCUGUGCUUACAAGGCAGGCAGCAGAGCCACUGAGCCAAAUCCCCAGCCCUAAUUUUAUUUCUGUAAUUUUAUUUUAUUAGUCCGUGUUUGCAGUACAUAACGUUUAUAUUCCUUGUGUUCAGUGGGUGUGUGUGCACGACACAUCUUCAUUCCCUUCUCAACCCUUUCCCUCCUUUCCCUCACCUCUUCCUCCCUCUCCUGGUCCCCUUCCCAUUUGAGAAAGACCUCUCUCCCUACUUCCUAUCAUCUCUUAUUUUGGUCUUUGUAGGUGGGGUUUCGCAUACAAGAGAAACCAUGUGACAUUUAAGUUGUGUGUCUGCUUUAUUUCACUUUACAUUUUGCUUGCAAGGUGCAUUUAUUUUCCUAUAUGGCAGAGCAGUGCUCCCUGGCAUGUAAACACCACAUUUUCUCUCUCUCUCUUUUUUUUUUGCAGUACUGGGGAUCAAACUCAGGACCUUCCAGGAAGGGAUGGGCGGGGCUUCUCCCUGCGUCCUGGCGCUCUUGCUGCUCUCCGGGAGAGGGAGCGCCUGCUUUCCUGAGAAGUGUGAGCUGAGUACAGAGAUGCCAAUGGCAGGAGGCGUCAGGAGGACCCUUCUCCACCCUGCACUGCUGCCUUGGGUCGGGCCCCCAGAUUCUCCAGGGCACAUGGUGGCCACGAGAGAGGGAGACAUGCUGGUCUUCCUGGUGGACCUGCGGAUCACCCAAGGGCAGUUCCCAAAGAUGGAGCAUGGACGUGGGCAGGCCAAGUACCACGGAGACGACGCACAGUCACACUAGGCUGCUGUCAUGGGCAGGCG
rnacentral:lncRNA from 1 species